ACAGGCAAUUAACCUGUUCACUAAUGUUCUUUUAAUGCUGGUCAUACAAGGUAUUGUCUGUGAUGAGAUCAGACUGGAUCAGUCUCCUGCUCAGGUGAAGAGACCAGGAGAGACGGUUAAGAUCUCCUGUAAAAUAUUUGGGUUUGACAUGACAAGCCACUACAUGCACUGGAUCAGACAGAAAGCAGGAGGACCCCUGGAAUGGAUUGGGAGAAUGAACACUGGAAACAAUGAGGCUACCUAUGCAGAGUCUCUGAAAGGCCAGUUCACCCUGACUGAGGACGUCUCCAACAGCACACAGUUCUUAGAGGCCAAGAGUCUGAGAGCAGAGGAAACUGCUGUUUACUACUGCGCUCGACAGGCACAGUGA